UAGAGUUUGAUCCUGGCUCAGAACGAACGCUGGCGGCGCGUUUUAAGCAUGCAAGUCGAGCGGGAUUAUCCAGCUUGCUGGAUAUGAGAGCGGCGGACUGGUGAGUAACGCGUGGGUGACGUGCCCUUCUGCCCGGGAUAGCCGGUAGAAAUACCGGAUAAUACCGGAUGAGCUCCGCGGCGCUGGAGGCCGCGGAGGAAAGGAGCUAUUGUUCCGCGGAAGGAGCGGCCCGCGUCCCAUCAGCUGGUUGGCGGGGAAAAGGCCCACCAAGGCGAUGACGGGUACCCGGCCUCAGAGGGCGACCGGGCACAUUGGGACUGAGAUACGGCCCAGACUCCUACGGGAGGCAGCAGCUAAGAAUAUUCCGCAAUGGGGGAAACCCUGACGGAGCGACGCCGCGUGGACGACGAAGGCCGGAAGGUUGUAAAGUCCUUUUGUGGCUGAGGAAGAAGGGCAGGUCGGAAGCCUGUCCGGUGACUGUAGGCCAUGAAUAAGCACCGGCUAAUUACGUGCCAGCAGCCGCGGUAACACGUAAGGUGCGAGCGUUGUUCGGAAUCAUUGGGCGUAAAGGGCAUGUAGGCGGCCGCGCAAGUCUGGAGUGAAAUGCCGGGGCUCAACCCCGGAACUGCUCUGGAAACUGCGGGGCUGGAGUCGCCGAGGCGGAGCCGGAAUUUCCAGGUGUAGGGGUGAAAUCUGUAGAUAUCUGGAAGAACACCGAUGGCGAAGGCAGGCUUCGAGCGGACGACUGACGCUGAGGUGCGAAGGUGCGGGGAGCGAACAGGAUUAGAUACCCUGGUAGUCCGCACAGUAAACGAUGCACACUGGGUGUCUGGGCAUGAGCCCGGGUGCCGAAGCAAACACGGUAAGUGUGCCGCCUGGGGAGUAUGCCCGCAAGGGUGAAACUCAAAGGAAUUGACGGGGGCCCGCACAAGCGGUGGAGCAUGUGGUUUAAUUCGAUGGUACGCGAGGAACCUUACCUGGGUUUGACAUACACGGUGAGACGGCCGAGAGGCCGGGGCCCGGCAACGGGACCGUGAACAGGUGCUGCAUGGCUGUCGUCAGCUCGUGCCAUGAGGUGUUGGGUUAAGUCCCGCAACGAGCGCAACCCCUACCGCCGGUUACCAACAGGUAAAGCUGGGGACUCAGGCGGAACUGCCCCCGACAAGGGGGAGGAAGGUGGGGAUGACGUCAAGUCAGCAUGGCCCUUAUGUCCAGGGCUACACACGUGCUACAAUGGCAGCUACAGAGUGAAGCGAGGCCGCGAGGCGGAGCGAAGCGCAGAAAGGCUGCCGUAGUUCGGAUUGAAGUCUGAAACCCGACUUCAUGAAGUUGGAAUCGCUAGUAAUCGCGCAUCAGCACGGCGCGGUGAAUACGUUCCCGGGCCUUGUACACACCGCCCGUCACACCAUCCGAGUCGGGGACACCCGAAGCCGGCAGGCCAACCCGCAAGGGGAGCCGCUGUCGAAGGUAUGCCCGGUGAGGAGGGUGAAGUCGUAACA
rnacentral:rRNA from 1 species